GACGAACGCUGGCGGCGUGCUUAACCCAUGCAAGUCGAACGGAAAGGCCCUGCUUGUGUGGGGUGCUCGAGUGGCGAACGGGUGAGUAACACGAGAGUAACCUGCCCUUGACUUUGGGAUAACUUCAGGAAACUGGGGCUAAUACCGGAUAGGAGCUCCUGCUGCAUGGUGGGGGUUGGAAAGUUUCGGCGGGUGGGGAUGGACUCGCGGCUUAGCAGCUUGUUAGUGGGGGAGUGGCUUACCAAGGCUUUGACGGGUAGCCGGCCUGGGAGGGUGACCGGCCACAUUGGGACUAGGAGACGGCCCAGACUCCAACGGGAGGCAGCAGUGGGGAGUCUUGCACAAUGGGCGGACGCCUGUUGCAGCAGCGCCGCGUGCGGGAUGCCGGCCUUCGGGUUGUAAACCGCUUUCGCCUGUGACGAAGCGUGAGUGACGGUAAUGGGUAAAGAAGCACCGGCUAACUACGUG
rnacentral:rRNA from 1 species